GAUGAACGCUGGCGGCGUGCCUAAUACAUGCAAGUCGAGCGAACGGACGAGAAGCUUGCUUUUCUGAUGUUAGCGGCGGACGGGUGAGUAACACGUGGAUAACCUACCUAUAAGACUGGGAUAACUUCGGGAAACCGGAGCUAAUACCGGAUAAUAUUUUGAACCGCAUGGUUCAAAAGUGAAAGACGGUCUUGCUGUCACUUAUAGAUGGAUCCGCGCUGCAUUAGCUAGUUGGUAGGGUAACGGCUUACCAAGGCAACGAUGCAUAGCCGACCUGAGAGGGUGAUCGGCCACACUGGAACUGAGACACGGCCCAGACGCCUACGGGAGGCAGCAGUAGGGAAUCUGCCGCAAUGGGCGAAAGCCUGACGGAGCAACGCCGCGUGAGUGAUGAAGGUCUUCGGAUCGUAAAACUCUGUUAUUAGGGAAGAACAUAUGUGUAAGUAACUGUGCACAUCUUGACGGUACCUAAUCAGAAAGCCACGGCUAACUACGUG
rnacentral:rRNA from 1 species